rnacentral:rRNA from 1 species
CAGCAGCCGCGGGAAUACGAGGGGGGCAAGCGUUGCUCGGAUUUAUUGGGCGUAAAGCGAGCGCAGGCGGUUAGAUAAGUCUGAAGUUAAAGGCUGUGGCUUAACCAUAGUACGCUUUGGAAACUGUUUAACUUGAGUGCAAGAGGGGAGAGUGGAAUUCCAUGUGUAGCGGUGAAAUGCGUAGAUAUAUGGAGGAACACCGGUGGCGAAAGCGGCUCUCUGGCUUGUAACUGACGCUGAGGCUCGAAAGCGUGGGGAGCAAACAGGAUUAGAUACCCCGGUAGUCCCUGUCUCUUAUACA